UACGGGGGGGGCAAGCGUUGUUCGGAAUUACUGGGCGUAAAGGGCGCGUAGGCGGCCUUCUAAGUCGGACGUGAAAUCCCUCGGCUUAACCGGGGAACUGCGUCCGAUACUGGAUGGCUUGAGUUCGGGAGAGGGAUGCGGAAUUCCAGGUGUAGCGGUGAAAUGCGCAGAUAUCAGGAGGAACACCGGUGGCGAAGGCGGGUCUCUGGGCCGUAACUGACGCUGAGGAGCGAAAGCGUGGGGAGCGAACAGG
rnacentral:rRNA from 1 species